AUAAACAGUAUAUAAUAUAGAGCGGUAUACAACAGGGCUGUCUCGCCCCACACACAAACCAACGACAAGAAAGAUGGGUGCUACGAAUGCAAUCGUUUCGGUAUAUGAUACGUCACGUUCCUGGGGGAACUAAAUAUCGCCGACCCUUUAUUUAGAUUGUCGGAGCUCCUAAUGAGAGAUCGUUUGACGGAGAAUCCGAGAAAGUUCUGAACGCAGUAGUGGAAGUCAAUAGACCAACGGCAAUAACGUUUGAUGAAAUCGUUCAGUAUUCUCAAGAGGACACGGAAACACAGCAGGUUGGAGGAGCUUUGCAUAGUGACAAUUGGAAUGAAGCUACAAGAAAAUAUGUACCAUUCAAGUCGGAGUUGUGCUUUGCUGGUGAAGUUCUAUUGAGGAAGAACAAAAUCGUGAUCCCGAAUCAACUUCGAAAAACCGUGCUAAAAUCAGCACACACAGGACAUCCCGGACAAGAAAAAAUGAAAAGAAGACUCAGAGUUGCUGUAUGGUGGCCGGGUAUAGACAGUGAUGUGAAGAGAUCGUGUAACGAGUGUUUUGAUUGUCGGCUGGUGGCAACAUUUGAAAAACCGGAGCCUCUACGAAUGAGAGAACUUCCGCGUGCUCCAUGGAUUCAUUUGGCGGGAGAUUUUCUGGGACCACUCCUAACGGUUACUAUUUGUUUGUGCUGAUUGACUUGUACAGUAGAUACAUGAUAGUAGAACCAAUGAAGCAAACAACUUCGAACGAGGUAAUCCGUGUUUUGAAGGAGAUAUUUACCAGACUGGGUCUUCCACAAGUGAUUACAUUGGAUAACGCCAUGAACUUUUCAAGUCAGCUGAUGAAGGAUUUUUGUGUUGAUCGUGGGAUUAAACUAACACACACUACUCCUUAUUGGCCAAGCGCGAAUGGAGAAGCUGAGCGACAAAACCAGUCGCUUCUGAAGGUGUUACGGAUCAGCAAGAAUAAAGGAACUGACUGGAAAGAUGUAAUACAUUGUAACCAGUGGUCCCAUUUUUGUUGCUUGUCGGCUCCACCGCAAGUGCAUAUUCCCUCCACCAUCAAACCCACCGUGUACUUCGACACUGAGUAACAAGCUUACAGCGGUUUGAGCGUGAGCCAAAAAGAGUGCCCACCAUACUUUUUUCAUGUACCAAUAGAUGGUGCACGGAAGGGUUGCCAGAUCGACAAGCCUGUCAAUGUUCGGCAAUGUUCGUGCUUUGUCGUAUCUUAAAAUUAAUCGAACAACUCAGCUUUCAGCCGGAGGAAGAUUAUUAAGUUCCAUGACCGCGAAAAGAGUGGAAGUGCGCGUCGGAACAUAUAAAUAUAACGUAGUUAAAAAAGUAUUAUAUAUAUAUAAAUACUGUGUAAGAUUCUUUAAUCGGAUUGCCGGUGUUCGCAAGUGUGAUUACCGAGAAGGGCGAGUUAGAAAACGGAGAAAAAGGUCCAGAGCGGCCUUUUUCUUUUUUCCCCAUCGCUUGGUGGCACAAGCGGUGGAUUGUAUUCCCCAGGAUUAACGUCGGACGAUUCGGACAGGGCUCUGGAUACAGCAACGGUCUUUCGUGGAAGAAUUCCGCCAUCUUGGACAUCGUUCUCGUCGAAGCGUGCGUGGCCAUCUUGGCGAGAGUGCCAUUCCUAUCUGUGUUCCGUCAGCGGCCAUUCCGGCAUCACGGUAUCCACGUGGCCGGGGCGUCACCAUCGACAUCUCGGGACAGCUUUCGGCGUCACCCAUCGCAUCACGCCGGUCGCCAGUGAACGCGGCCAUUUUGGGCUUUGUUGGCGCAUCGCCAAGCUCUCGUUCUGUGGAUCGCCAAGCCAGAUCGCCAAGCCCGUGCUGUGGAUCGCCAAGCCCGUGCCCAUCGUCAAGCCGUCGUCCGGCGGAUCGCCAAGCUCUCAUCCGGCGCAUCGUCAAGCCCUCGUGCUGUGGAUCGCCAAGCCCUUGCCCAUCGUCAAGCCGUCGUCCGGUGGAUCGCCAAGCCGGAUCGCCAAGCCGGAUCGCCAAGAGAGAAUUUGGACACAUGAGUACGGAAUGCAAGAAUAGUAUGGCGUGUUCUAAGUGCAGUGAAGGUCACAAAACAUCUGAUUGCACGUCAACUGAUUUGAAAUGUAUCAAUUGUUUGAAAAUGAAUAAAGAACGUAAAAUGAAUCUGGACGUAAACCACGGAGCAUUUAGUACUGAGUGUAAAGUUUAUAAAAGGUUAUUUGAUCGUAAAAAGAGCAGCUUACGUUUCAAUGAAUAGCAACCAAGUUCCAGUAGAAAUGUGAAUAAUUUAGAUAUUUUGUAUUUGAAUAUUGCUGGUUUGUCUACAAACUACGUUGCACUACGUAAGAUUGUAGAAGAUAAACGUCCACUUCUAGUAUUUCUAUCUGAAACUCAUAUUGUUAACUUAGAAGCAUUUGAUCAAUAUAGUAUUCCGGGAUAUAGUGUUGCUGCUUGUCUAUCACAUUCGAGACACACCGGCGGAGUUGCUAUUUAUGUCAAAGAAUCAGUUCAGUUCAAGCUUCAAUUGAACGAAGUUUGCGAUGGCAAUUGGUUCUUAGGCAUUGCAGUUGUACGUGGCAUGAAGUUGGGUAAUUACGGUAUU